UAUAUGGGGACAUAGAAGCUAUAGCAAUGUAACCCUACACCCAAAAAUACAAUGAAAUCACAUGUGAUUUGCCGGACUCAACAAGGCAUAUGACCAAUUAACCUAACUCAAUCAUCACUAUCCCAUUCAUUCAUAUUUAGGAAACAUUGCUCACAACCCACUUUGAUUGGCACAUAAUCAUUCCUUGCCUUUUUGUAAGAAAAUCACACCCUACCAAAAAUAAUCAUGUUUAUAGACUUCUAGGUUCUCCUCAAAUUAGCACAAGAGAAUUUUAUAUAUAUGCGAAUGUGGGAGCUAACCUCAUUAGAAUUGGUUUUAUCCAAUAAAAAACAAUUAAAUAAGUCAUGAUGAAUUAAUUAGAGUGGAAAGGGUAGCAUGAACUUUAGGCUAUAUAUGGUUAAAAAAAGCAUAUCAAAUUGUGUAAUGAAGAAACGAGAAGAAUGGAUCUUGAAGACCUGUUCAGGGGAUCCUUUGAAACAUAAUCUUCUGACCAUUUCGUCUGAUGGAGUCAACACACAAAAUGAAUCACUCUGCCUGAAAUAAUUAAAAUGUUCAAGAAGAAAAGUUGUGAUAUGAAGAAAAAUUAUUUGCAGCAAAUGAAAUCAAUAAGCAUAAGCUAAAUGAUCAUUUUGGCUAAUGAAAUCAAAAUAGUGUAAGGCAAUAUUGCUACGCGCAAGACAAGAUCUCUUCAUCGGAUAUGCUGCAAUAUGUAAGAGAUAGAAUGCAUUUGAUUACUGGAUCCAUUGUUCAGGAGUUACAUAUAUAUCUUAUUAUGUGUCUUUGAAUAAAGUACUUGUGCAACUAAACUUUGUUACAUUGAUUCUUAGGUACAUGUUAGAUCGGUUACUUGUCCGAUCUAACAUCAAGCGUUGUAAUAAAUAGUUAAUUAUAAGAUCAGCUAUUACAUCGGUUAAA